CUCCUGAAGGCUUCUAAAGGGAGUCCAGGCUAAUUUUAUUUUUUCAAGGGCUCCACACCAAGACAGAAGGAAUGAAGAUUCAGAAGAGGGAAAGGCCUGGAGGGGAGAGGAAAUCAGCAAAAAGGAAGGGAAGAUGUUGAAGGUUCGGCAAGGAUUAUGGACAGAUUUGCCUCUCGCACCACUUAUUGUCUUGUGUCGUUCUGGUGAAGCGAGUUCUCUUCCCGUUCCUGGCAGGUAAGUGUCUAACACGUAGGAUUCAUAGGAUUCAUAGGAUUCUCGCCAAGGAAGUAAAUAAUUAAAUGAUAAGUC
rnacentral:lncRNA from 1 species